rnacentral:rRNA from 1 species
AGCGGGACAGGCUUGGAACAGCAACAGCAAGAAGAUAGGCUUGGAAGCAGCCGCACUAUGAUGAAAGCGUAAUAGCUCACUUGCUUAGUUCACGGCCCUUACAGAUGUCCGGGAGCAGGAGACUGCCGAAGCACACAAAGGAAUACGGA